GUGCUUGCUACGGCUGCACAUAUACUAAAAUUGGAUCGAUACAGAGAAGAUUAGCAUGGCCCCUGCGAAAGGAUGACACGCAAAUCCAUGAAGCGUUCCAUAUUUCU
ensembl:snRNA U6 U6 spliceosomal RNA